rnacentral:rRNA from 1 species
GCAUAUCAAUAAGCGGAGGAAAAGAAACUAACAAGGAUUCCCCUAGUAACGGCGAGUGAAGCGGGAAGAGCUCAAAUUUAAAAAUCUGGCGGUCUUCGGCCGUCCGAGUUGUACACUAGAGAAGCGUUUUCUGUGGCGGACCAUGUACAAGUCUCUUGGAACAGAGCGUCAUAGAGGGUGAGAAUCCCGUCCUUGACAUGGACCCCCCGUCGCUGUGCGAUGCGCUCUCGAAGAGUCGAGUUGUUUGGGAAUGCAGCUCAAAAUGGGUGGUAAAUUCCAUCUAAAGCUAAAUAUUGGCGAGAGACCGAUAGCGAACAAGUACCGUGAGGGAAAGAUGAAAAGCACUUUGGAAAGAGAGUCAAACAGUACGUGAAAUUGUUAAAAGGGAAACGAUCAAAGUCAGUCGCGUCUGCCGGGACUCAGCCUUGCCCUCGCGCAUGGUGCAUUUCCCGGUUUGACGGGCCAGCGUCGAUUUUGACCGGCGGAAAAGGGUCGGAGGAAUGUGGCUCCUCACGGAGUGUUAUAGCCUUUGGCCGCACACGUCGGUUGGGAUCGAGCUCACUCGCACGGCACGCCUCUGGUGGUGCCCGCGCUGGCGUAAUGGCUUUGACCGACCCGUCUUGAAACACGGACCAAGGAGUCUAACAUGUCUGCGAGUGUUUGGGUGACAAACCCGAGCGCGUAAUGAAAAGUGAUGGUUGGGAACCCUUUGCGGGGGGGCACCGACGCCCCGUGGCUGACCUUCUGCGACGCGCACGAGGCAGAGCAUGCAUGUUGGGACCCGAAAGAUGGUGAACUAUGCCUGAAUAGGGUGAAGCCAGAGGAAACUCUGGUGGAGGCUCGUAGCGAUUCUGACGUGCAAAUCGAUCGUCAAAUUUGGGUAUAGGGGGCGAAAGACUAAUCGAACCAUCUAGUAGCUGGGUUCCUGCCGA